rnacentral:tRNA from 1 species
GCACUGGUGACACAGUGGUGAGCACAGCUGCCUUGCAAGCAGUAGACCCAGCUUAGAUUCCUGUCCAAUGCU